AGAGGUGGGAAGGAAAAGGGAUGAGAAAAGGAAUUAAGAUGUGUUAUGUACAUGUACCAACUUCAUACAAGGAGUGUAAACCUUACAGACUGCAAACACGUACAGUACUAAUAAAUUUUCUUAAAAACAGGGGAGAGAAUAUAUUCUUUUGGGUUAGUGACUAUCUAUGGUGUUUGCCCUAGCAUCCUUUAAACCAGAUACUGUGAGUCAUAAUGCUGGGGUCCUUGGAAAAAGAGAAGUAAAAAUUCAGUAGGUUUCUGUGGCAUAUGAAGCAGUGAGACAUUAUGCAACUGAGGGUGGGUUCUAAGUGAUGAUUGUGUCGGGUGUUGGGUUAAACACAGCGAAAUAAAAAUGUGCAAAGUCACCAGAGUCUCUUGGAGUUAGUUACUUAAAUUCCUGGAUAGUUUCCCGCUGUAAGAAUGACUGACAGAUUGCUCCCCAACAACGCUAUGUAUUUUAAAGUUCUUUUCAUGAAAAUAUUUACACCUACCUACAUUGAAACAAUAUAAUGAACAAUAUAUACCCUUUGCUUUGCUAAACUGAGUAUCAAUAUUUUGCCAAAGGUUAUAAACUUUUCUUGCCCUUAUACAUUUUUUAGUAUUUUAAAGCGAAUACUAAACAUGCUGUUUAAAAGCUAUUUGGUAUGCAUCUCUAACUAGUGAGAACUGUCUUUGACAUAACAGGCAUGGUUUUGUCACACCACAGAUCGUUAAUAUUAUAUAGUGCACAUUCCGCAUACCCUUUUCUCUGACUGUACUAAAGAUGUCCCUUUAUAGUUAUUUUGUCUAAAUCAGGAUCCAAACAAGGUCCACAUAUCAUUUUUGGUUACCAUGUCUGAAACAAAUGAUGGAGAUGUUAUUUGGUUAUUAUGUUGGAAACACUCCGGUGAUUUUUUUUUUCCUGAUAUGUACAGUAUUACUGGAAAAACACUUUAUUUCGUGUUUUAUAACUACAUUGUUAUAUUUUCUACUUUGGAAGUAACAUUACAUAUUAUAUAUCAUUCAACACUUAUCCAGCUACUGCAUAAUGAACAAUUACUAUAUGUAGGACAUUGUAGUGGGUGCUGAGUUUGAUGUGAAAUGUCUAUAAAUUAUAGUUCCUACAUUGAAGUUUUUACAUGAAGGAAAAAUUGAUAUAAAAAUGCAAAAUGAUAAUGACAAAAAUGGCAGUAUAAGUUACUGAAGUGGUAAAGAUACUGUGGGUUUAUAGGCAGAGGUAUGGCUUGGAAGAUAAGUCUUUUUGAAAAGUUAACAAUUUAGAUGGAUGAGUUAGAGACCAGCAAUUUAAGGAAGAAGUUGGAGUGGGAGGGAAGGAAAAGCGAAAGUUCAUUUUAUGAAUGGAAAACUAGGGUGGAAAAGAGACAUAAGGCUUACACAUGGAGAGAAAGAAAGGUACAUAGGGAUAUAAGUAAAACAAAUCAAUGAAAUCAGAAUAUUUGUGAAAGAUAUGUGUAGAGGGUACAUAGGGGGAAGGUUGGUAGGACAGUGGGUGGCAGGAUCAGUAGCUUGAACAUUGUCCUUUGGAACAGGACCACUAGCUCCAUUCAUUUUUCCAUAUAUGGGAGACUAUUGCACACUAUGUAAACAUAGAUCUUUCAUUAGUAAGCAAAAUAUGCUGGCUCAUUUCAUAAGGGAACUUAAGAAACUGUUUAUGUAUUCCAAUAGCAAUCAUUUUCAAAUAUUUAUAGAAAAUUGGCAAGAUAAUUUGAUGUUUUGUUUUGCCCAAGAGCUAGAUACUCCAUUUAGAGAAAUACAAACAAAUUGGAGCAGAUUUAACAACACCCACUACGAGCAGCUGAGAGAGCUUCAUAAAGCAAGAUUUAAUCGUAGCACAAUAUAAAACAACAGCUCAACAAAUUCAACAAAAGAGAGAUAACCUUAGUAAAGACAUACUAGCUCUGCAAACCUUAAACUCUAAACUUUCUAUCAGUAAUAAAAUUACAGUGACAUUUGUAAUAUGUCUGUUCUUCUGUGUAUCAAUUAAAAUGUGUAUUGACCUAUAAAUUCUCUCUUUACCAGAAAAUCCUAAUUGAUUUUCAUUAUUAAAAAAUUCUCCAAUGGCAACUGAAUUAUCAAGGUCAUCAAUGAAAGUACACAUUGAACAUAACAUAGAUUUAUUGGCCUGUAUUCCAGUACAGAUGAUUAAACAUAUACAAAUAGAAAUCAAAUUACAGACUGGAUGAAAAUAAAGUCAGCUGGAUUAAGCAAGAGCUUCUAAACAGCAACACUAUGACUGUGGAUCAGAUGCUUCUUAGAGGUGAGGAGCUGUCUCCGCAUCUGCUAUGUGUUGCCAG
rnacentral:lncRNA from 1 species